rnacentral:rRNA from 1 species
CCUACGGGUGGCUGCAGUAGGGAAUAUUGCUCAAUGGGGGAAACCCUGAAGCAGCAACGCCGCGUGGAGGAUGAAGGUUUUCGGAUUGUAAACUCCUUUUGUUAGAGAAGAUACUGACGGAAUCUAAAGAAUCAGCACCGGCUAACACCGUGCCAGCAGCCGCGGUAAUACGGAGGGUGCAAGCGUUACUUGGAAUCACUGGGCGUAACGAGCGAGUAGGCGGGAGUGCAAGUCAGAUGAGAACUACUCGGGCUUAAUCAUAGAAGUGCAUUUGAAACUGUUAUGCUAGAGUAUGGUAGAGGUAGGUGGAAUUCUUGGUGUAGGGGUGAAAUGCGUAGAGAUCAAGAGGAAUACUCAUUGCGAAGGCGACCUGCUAGAACAUAACUGACGCUGAGGCGCGAAAGCGUGGGGAGCAAACAGGAUUAGAUACCCGGGUAGUC